UACGGAGGAUCCAAGCGUUAUCCGGAAUCAUUGGGUUUAAAGGGUCCGUAGGCGGUCUGGUAAGUCAGUGGUGAAAGCCCAUCGCUCAACGGUGGAACGGCCAUUGAUACUGCUGGACUUGAAUUACUAGGAAGUAACUAGAAUAUGUAGUGUAGCGGUGAAAUGCUUAGAGAUUACAUGGAAUACCAAUUGCGAAGGCAGGUUACUACUAGUGGAUUGACGCUGAUGGACGAAAGCGUGGGUAGCGAACAGG
rnacentral:rRNA from 1 species